rnacentral:rRNA from 1 species
AUUGAACGCUGGCGGCAGGCCUAACACACGCAAGUCGAACGCGUGGCGGACGGGUGUGUAAUGUCUGGGAAACUGCGUGGUGGAGGGGGAUCACUAGUGGAAACGGUAGCUAAUAGCACAUAAUCUCAGAUGUGCACAGAUGGGAUUGGCUGGUGGGUGGGGUAACGGCGCACAAAGGCGACGAUCCCUAGCUGGUCUGAGAGGAUGACCAGCCACACUGGAACUGAGACACGGUCCAGACUCCUACGGGAGGCAGCAGUGGGGAAUAUUGCACAAUGGGCGCAAGCCUGAUGCAGCCAUGCCGCGUGUAUGAAGAAGGCCUUCGGGUUGUAAAGUACUUUCAGCGGGGAGGCGUUACCCGCAGAAGAAGCACCGGCUAACUCCGUGCCAGCAGCCGCGGUAAUAC